rnacentral:lncRNA from 1 species
CCCCAGCCCCCACCAUAGCUGACGUCGCAUAGCAAGUGCAGUGCACGCACAGGCAACAGCAGGAAGCACAGCACCAGCGCCAGCCAGGGCGUGUCAGCAUCCAGAUUUGUACCCACCCCAACACACGCACUACCUUGGAUUUCCGCCCCCCCCUGCGCGCGCAGCGCACACUUGUGCCGUCUCCUGCCUCGUCACGCCUACCAGUUCAGCACGCUGUAACUUGCCCCGCUUGAAUGCUCUGGUGCACGUCUGUCAAUCCAGUGAUCGCUAUCCAACACCUUGCGCUCACAGCCAGCCUCGGCUA